rnacentral:rRNA from 1 species
AGUGAACGCUGGCGGUAGGCCUAACACAUGCAAGUCGAACGGCAGCACAGUAAGAGCUUGCUCUUACGGGUGGCGAGUGGCGGACGGGUGAGGAAUACAUCGGAAUCUACUUUUUCGUGGGGGAUAACGUAGGGAAACUUACGCUAAUACCGCAUACGACCUACGGGUGAAAGCAGGGGAUCUUCGGACCUUGCGCGAUUGAAUGAGCCGAUGUCGGAUUAGCUAGUUGGCGGGGUAAAGGCCCACCAAGGCGACGAUCCGUAGCUGGUCUGAGAGGAUGAAUAGGCAAAACGGAAACUAGACAAGGGCCAAAACUCUAAGGGAGGGAGGAGGGGGGAAUUUUUGGAAAAUGGGGGCAGGCCUGUCCAGGCAAUCCGGGGUGGGGAAAGAAGCCUUUCGGGUGGUAAAGCCCUUUUGUUGGAAAGAAAAGGCAGCGGGUUAAACCCCGGCUGUUCGAACGUUACCAAAGAAUAAGCACCGGCUAACUUCGUG